rnacentral:rRNA from 1 species
CCUACGGGUGGCUGCAGUGGGGAAUAUUGCGCAAUGGGCGAAAGCCUGACGCAGCGACGCCGCGUGAGGGAUGAAGGUUCUCGGAUCGUCAACCUCUGUCAGAAGGGAAGAAAUUAUUUCAUCCUAAUCAGUGGUGUAUUUACGGUACCUUCAAAUGCAGCACCGGCUAACUCCGUGCCAGCAGCCGCGGUAAUACGGAGGGUGCGUGCGUUAAUCGGAAUUAUUGGGCGUAAAGCGAACGUAGGCGGUCUGACAAGUGAACGGUGAAAUGCCACGGCUCAACCGUGGAACUGCCUUUGAAACUGUCAGACUGGAGUAUGUGAGAGGGCGGCGGAAUUCCUGGUGUAGGAGUGAAAUCCGGAGAUAUCAGGAGGAACAUCAGUGGCGAAGGCGGCCGCCUGGCACAAAACUGACGCUGAGGCGCGAAAGCGUGGGUAGCAAACAGGAUUAGAUACCCUAGUAGUC